CGCCCAGGAGGCCGUAGGUCUCGCGCAUCACAUCCCGGUAUAGAGUCCUCUGCGCGGGCCGCAGAGACCCCCACUCCUCGGAGGAGAAGUACACGGCCACGUCCGCGAACUUCAAGGCCCUUGGCCUCCUGCCCCUUCUCCGACUAGGUCCAGCCUCUCCGGGUGCCCGCGCGAGGAGCGGAGCCGAAGGUGGCGCCAUGGGACCUGCUCCCCGGCCUUGCCCCGGCCUUGCCCGGGCUUAGCACCGCGUACCCCGAGACCUAGAAGCACGGCCGGGAAGGCCCGGAGAAAAUCGAAUCGGCGGCCUGAGGGGCCGGGCGGCCCGACACAGACCGCCCCGUUAUUCAGGGAACUCCCGCUGGAACUUGGGUGAGAGGCACCGGAAGAUGCCUUCGGGGAAGAUGGCGGCACUGCUCCUGUACCACCGCUGCCUAGAACACAGGCAGGUUCCAGCUAUCGAUUUUAUUGACCCGAACGCCAUGCCGACUUCUUAACCUCCUUGCCCUAAAGUGUAAUGGCGCUGCGAGAUGGCUGCAUGCCUACUUUUCUCCUAUCUAUUGCAUUCGUUUAUUGGUCGGUAGCUGAAGAUCGGGCGUUCUGAUUGGGUAUUGGUGAAGGCGGCUCAUUUGAAUGAAGCCAACAGAUUCUUAAGGGCAAGAAGGUGGACGAUGUGUUAUGAGUAGGAGGCUCUUCUUGUAUUCUCCAACGUUUGUUUGUCCUACUUGGAGAAGACGUUUCUACACGUCUUCCUAGGGAAAGUCACAUAAUGUCAACAUGGAUUUUUGAACAGCUGAAUCCUAUGAUGAUAAAGUUGUCAAAGCCAGGAAUUCUGACAAGGACUAGAUGAGCAGGGAGCAGUGAUAACGUUCUGAUUCACAAAAGAUAUGGUCUCAUGUUGUCCAGUCUAGACUCAACACUCACUAUGUAGCUGAGGAUGACCAAGAACUUCUGCAUGCUCAAAUUACAAGCUUCCAGCAGAAGAUGUGGCCCAGAUUAGAAGUGGAUUUUCCAAGUUCAAAAGAUCUGGAUUAAAGGUGCAUCUUCCUGUUUCAAAUAUCUGGAUUAGAAGUAGAUCUUUCAACUUCAAAUUAAACAAAAAUCCCUCACAGGUAUGCCCCUCCAUUUUGGGGGUUUAGUUAAUUACAGAUGUAAUCAAGUUGACAACCAAGAAUAGCCAUCACAUAGAGAUUCACUCUAUCAGUUCUGUUCUUCUAGAGAACCCUGACUAAUACAGCUCCAUAGCCAGACACUGUCUUCCAGGCUCUGGUGGUACACGCCUGGAAUCCUAGCAUUUGAUAGGUCAAUGGAGAGAAUCAAGAGGUCAAGGUCAAAUGUGGGGCCAGCCUGGGCUAUGUGAGUUCUGUCCAAAACAGACAAAAACAUCUGCAUCUCCUUUCUCCCUUGGAGCUUUCGUUCUACAAACAGGACAGAUUUGGGGAAAAUGCUAGUGACAGAAUGUUGCUUGCGUCCAUGCCAUCGUCUUUCAAUGAAUACAAUGACUUCAGAGUUUUGUUUGGAUUUUUCUUUUCUCUCUUUAUAUAUUUUUUUCAGCUAAUGUUUAUGAAAAGUGAGUACUUAGACCUGUGCUACUAAGGAAAGUCUUUCUCAAGAAAGUGAUUGGUUCUGCACAAGGGUGAGCCCAUCAAAAGCCUGGCAUAGAUGGGAGAAGGACUUAGAAAGUCACUGGGAAAGCAACAGGUACAAGGGACAAUGAAGGGUGGGAGGAGAUAUGAGAGGAUUAGGGGAGAUAGCAGCCAGAAUGCAUUAUAUACAUAUGAAAUUGCCAAAGAACUUAUUUAAAAGUAUAUACUUUUAGAGGUGUAUGUUUUUCUUCAUAUGUCUGAGUGUUUUGUCUGUGUGUAGGCACAAGAAUGCCUAGUACAGAGGGUAAAAAGAUCGCACCAGAUCCCCUGGAACUCAAGUUACAGAGAGUCGUACGUAACCAUAUAGGUGCUGGGGAUCCAACAUGGGUCCUCUGCAAGAGCUGCAGGUCUA